ensembl:snRNA U6 U6 spliceosomal RNA
GUGCUCGCUUCAGCAGCACAUAUACUAAAACUGAACAAUACAGAGAAGAUUAGCAUGGCCCCUGAGCAAUGAUGAAACACCAAAUGUGACAAAUGCAUGCAAUGGAA